rnacentral:rRNA from 1 species
ACGGUGUCGACUGGUCUGUCCCCGGGACGUCCUGCCGGUGAGCUCGUACGCCUCGUUCGCGCGAGCGUCUAGGCGGCGGCUCAAAUUCAAUCCCAUCGAGAUGCUCUUCACCGAUUGUCAAGGUGGGCCGGCUCUUUUACUUUGAACGAAUUAUAAUGCUUAAAGCAGGCAAAAUAUCACCUGAAUACUGUGUGCAUGGAAUAAUGGAAUAGGACCUCGAUUCUAUUUUGUUGGAGUGCGGAACUCCAACGUAAUGAUUAAUAGGAACGAAUGGGGGCAUUCUUAUUGCGACGUUGAAGGUGAAAUUCUUGGAUCGUCGCAAGACAGACGUAAGCGAAAGCAUUUGCCAAAAACACUUUCAUUGAUGAAGAACGAAAGUUAGAGGUUCGAAGGCGAUCAUAUACCGCCCUAGUUCUAACCAUAAACGAUGCCCGCUAGCGAUCCGCCAACGUUCCUCCAAUGACUCGGCGGGCAGCUUCCGGGAAACCAAAGCUUUUGGGUUCCGGGGGAAGUAUGGUUGCAAAGCUGAAACUUAAAGGAAUUGACCGGAAGGGCACCACCAGGAGUGGAGCCUGCGGCUUAAUUUGACUCAACACGGGAAACCUCACCAGGCCCGGACAUAGGAAGGAUCGCCAGAUUGAGAGCUCUUUCUUGAUUCGAUGGGUGGUGGUGCAUGGCCGUUCUUAGUUGGUGGAUGUGAUCUGUCUGGUUAAUUCCGAUAACGAACGAGGCUCUAGCCUGCUAACUAGGCGUACUUUCGACAUCUCAAAGGUCGGCCGUCCCGGUCAGUGAGGGCCGCGGACGCACCCGAUC